UACGUAGGGUGCAAGCGUUGUCCGGAAUUAUUUGGGCGUAAAGAGCUCGUAGGCGGUCUGUCGCGUCUGCUGUGAAAACUCAGGGCUUAACCCUGAGCUUGCAGUGGGUACGGGCAGACUAGAGUGCGGUAGGGGAGACUGGAAUUCCGUGGUGAUAGCGGUGAAAUGCGCAGAUAUCAGGAGGAACACCGGUGGCGAAGGCGGGUCUCUGGGCCGUAACUGACGCUGGAGACACGAAAGCGUGGGUAGCAAACAGG
rnacentral:rRNA from 1 species